GAUGAACGCUAGCGACAGGCUUAACACAUGCAAGUCGAGGGGCAGCAGGGGAGUAGCAAUACUCCCGCUGGCGACCGGCGCACGGGUGAGUAACACGUAUGCAACCUGUCCUUGUCAGGGGGAUAAGCGGAAGAAAUUCCGUCUAAUACCGCAUAAUGCUGCGGGGAGACAUCUCCCUGCAGCCAAAGAUUUAUCGGACAAGGAUGGGCAUGCGGCGCAUUAGCUUGUUGGCGGGGUAACGGCCCACCAAGGCGACGAUGCGUAGGGGUUCUGAGAGGAAGGUCCCCCACACUGGUACUGAGACACGGACCAGACUCCUACGGGAGGCAGCAGUGAGGAAUAUUGGUCAAUGGCCGGGAGGCUGAACCAGCCAAGUCGCGUGAGGGAAGACGGUCCUAUGGAUUGUAAACCUCUUUUGUCAGGGAGCAAAAACUGCCACGUGUGGCAGGAUGAGAGUACCUGAAGAAAAAGCAUCGGCUAACUCCGUGCCAGCAGCCGCGGUAAUACGGAGGAUGCGAGCGUUAUCCGGAUUUAUUGGGUUUAAAGGGUGCGUAGGCGGACAGUUAAGUCAGCGGUAAAAUUGAGAGGCUCAACCUCUUCCCGCCGUUGAAACUGAUUGUCUUGAGUGGGCGAGAAGUAUGCGGAAUGCGUGGUGUAGCGGUGAAAUGCAUAGAUAUCACGCAGAACUCCGAUUGCGAAGGCAGCAUACCGGCGCCCAACUGACGCUGAAGCACGAAAGCGUGGGUAUCGAACAGGAUUAGAUACCCUGGUAGUCCACGCAGUAAACGAUGAAUACCAAUUGUUCGGGUCAAAUGAGAUCUGAGUGAUACAGCGAAAGCGUUAAGUAUUCCACCUGGGGAGUACGCCGGCAACGGUGAAACUCAAAGGAAUUGACGGGGGCCCGCACAAGCGGAGGAACAUGUGGUUUAAUUCGAUGAUACGCGAGGAACCUUACCCGGGCUCAAACGACACAGGAAUGAUCUGAGAAAUCAGGCAGUCCUCCGGGACCUGUGUCGAGGUGCUGCAUGGUUGUCGUCAGCUCGUGCCGUGAGGUGUCGGCUUAAGUGCCAUAACGAGCGCAACCCCCAUCGACAGUUGCCAGCAGGUCAAGCUGGGCACUCUGUCGAGACUGCCGGCGCAAGCUGUGAGGAAGGCGGGGAUGACGUCAAAUCAGCACGGCCCUUACGUCCGGGGCGACACACGUGUUACAAUGGCAGGUACAGCGGGAAGCCACCUGGCGACAGGGAGCGGAACCCGAAAGCCUGUCUCAGUUCGGAUUGGAGUCUGCAACUCGACUCCAUGAAGCUGGAUUCGCUAGUAAUCGCGCAUCAGCCACGGCGCGGUGAAUACGUUCCCGGGCCU
rnacentral:rRNA from 1 species